GACGAACGCUGGCGGCGUGCUUAACACAUGCAAGUGGAGCGACGAACCGGGGCUUGCCCCGGGGCAGAGCCGCGAACGGGUGAGUAACACGUGGGUAACCUGCCUCAAUGAUUGGGACAACCCGGGGAAACUCGGGCUAAUACCAAAUGUGUUCACUCCUUCUAAGGGGAGUGAGGAAAGGAAGCUUCGGCCUCCGCAUUGAGAUGGGCCCGCGGCCAUUAGCUUGUGGUGAGGUAACGGCUCACCAAGGCUUCGAUGGUAGCUGGUCUGAGAGGACGAGUCAGCCACACUGGGACUGAGACACGGCCCAGGCUCCUACGGGAGGCAGCAGUGGGAA
rnacentral:rRNA from 1 species